rnacentral:lncRNA from 1 species
UGCGCCGGCGAGGCAGCGGACGACGGGAAGAGCAGCGACGGUUCGAGUGACGCCGGGUCCGGCAUUGCAGGCAACGAUAGCGCCGGUGGCAGGAGGUGGGCGGCGACGGCGAGCACGACGAGAGCGCAGUGGAGGGUCCGCAUCGUUGGCGCACAGGUGCUUGGCUUGCGAGGGGGAAGAUUGACAGAGAUAGAACGGAAAAAAAAUGGACCCUUGAGGAAU